UACGUAGGGGGCAAGCGUUGUCCGGAUUCAUUGGGCGUAAAGCGCGUGUAGGCGGCCAGGUAGGUCCGGUGUGAAAACUCGAGGCUCAACCUCGAGAGGUCAUCGGAAACCAUCUGGCUAGAGUCCGGAAGAGGAGAGUGGAAUUCCCGGUGUAGCGGUGAAAUGCGCAGAUAUCAGGAAGAACACCAAUGGCGAAAGCAGCUCUCUGGGACGGUACUGACGCUGAGACGCGAAAGCGUGGGGAGCGAACAGG
rnacentral:rRNA from 1 species